GUCCCGGUAGCUCAGCCUGGUGGAGCACCUGCUCGACGCGCAGGGGGUCGGGGGUUCGAAGCCCUCCCGGGACA
rnacentral:tRNA from 2 species